UAUUAAAAUUAAAAAAAUACCCACUUCUAAUCCCUAUCACUCUCUCUCUCUCUCUCUCAAUCUGAAAAACGUCUCUCUCUCUCUCUCUCUCUCUCUCCCCCCCCUUUCUUUCUCUCUUCCGGCGAUCAGAUCUCCGCCGCCGCCCUCGACUUCCCGGCCACCGCUCGCCAGUCGUCUCUCCUCUCGUUGUCGAUCGAUCUGUUCUGCCGCUCGCCGGUCGUCUCUUCCCUAGAAAUUGGACAAUUCGUCCAUGAAAUUGAGCAUAGUCGAUGUGGAAACCCUAGGAGCCGGAUUCUCGGAGACGUAGCGGUUGAGGUCGGCGUCGUCAUCGUAAUUGAGGAAAUUGGCGACGGCGGCGAUGAAGCUGGAUUUCCCGGUGCCAGAAGGGCGUAGAGGAGGUAGCUCCGCCGUUCUCAUUUAUCGCUAGUCGCCACUUCUCACUUCUCUUCGUCCGAUCGCUGCCUCUCCGGGACUCCGGCCAUCCGCCGUUCGCCUCGUCUGUCGCCGCCUCUAUCAGAAAUUGACAUCCCCCUAUUCGAUUUGACGAUUUUCGUCGACGCUCGCCUCCACUGUUCAAUCAACGCAUCGCAUCGCGCCGUCGCCACCGCCCACUGGUGCACUGCCCAUCUUUUUCCGUCUCCGGUCGAAUUUAGUUGCAGUUGAGAUCAAAACUGCAAUGGUUAACAUUUGGUACGGGCCGGGUGAACUAUUUUCAGCAAGGUGAAUGCUAGAAUUUAAAUCAAUUUCUUGAAAAGGUGAGUGAUUUUGUAAGUUUAAAUUCAUCGUGCUUAAUUUCUUUUGUUUAUGAGAAUAUGUGAGUUUCUUCGUUGAUUGACAUCGUGCAAUCAAAACUUUUGAUUCUUUAAAAAUCUUGGAAGUUUUAUACAUAUAAAUAAAGGUAUGCAUGUAAAUUAUACUCCUC